CUGGAGUGAUGAUGUACCAAAGGUUUCGCAUUCUGGACUGAGUCCUGUGAUGUCACUUCCUCUUGGCUGUCUGACCAG